rnacentral:lncRNA from 1 species
CGUAUAUCAGGCGACAUCUCACUCUAACUGAUCCUGCACGAACGUGAAUGCAUGCCGCUUGCUGUCUACAUCUAAUCGCACCUGAUGAUCAUUUAGAGUUUGAAUCCAGUGCUCUCCCAAAUCCGAACCGUGCACACACCAAUCGUCCGCAAACCACGUCAAGACCGUGCAUGGACCAAGCCGCACCCCACCGUUGCGUACCCGUGCACUGUGAAGACCGACUUCC